UAUGAGUGCCAGCAGCCGCGGUAAUACAUAGGUGGCAAGCGUUAUCCGGAUUUAUUGGGCGUAAAGCGUGCGUAGACGGUUUUGCAAGUCUGAGGUUAAAUUUAGGGGCUCAACCCCUAACCGCCUUGGAAACUACAUUACUAGAGUAUAGGAGAGGUUAGUGGAAUUUCAUGUGUAGCGGUGGAAUGCGUAGAUAUAUGAAGGAACACCAGUGGCGAAGGCGGCUAACUGGCCUAUUACUGACGUUGUGGCACGAAAGCGUGGGGAGCAAAUAGGAUUAGAUACCCUAGUAGUCCACGCCGUAAACGAUGAGUACUAAGUGUUGCCAUGAGGCAGUGCUGUAGCUAACGCAUUAAGUACUCCGCCUGAGUAGUAUGCUCGCAAGAGUG
rnacentral:rRNA from 1 species